rnacentral:rRNA from 1 species
AGCUCCAAUAGCGUAUAUUAAAGUUGUUGCAGUUAAAAAGCUCGUAGUUGGAUUUCGGAGCAUUCACGAUGCUGACCGCUGAAACGGCGUGUUCGGCGCGUGGAUCUCCUCUUCUUGGGGAUUCAAGUGGGUGGCGGGUAAAACCGUCAUUCGCUCCCCAUCGUUUACUUUGAGAAAAUUGGAGUGCUCAAAGCAGGCACAACCCUGCCUUGAACAAUGCAGCAUGGGAUAAUAGAACAGGACGAAGGUCCUAUUUUGUUGGUUUCUAGGGCUUUUGUAAUGAUUAAAAGGGACAGUUGGGGGCAUUCGUAUUCAAUUGUCAGAGGUGAAAUUCUAGGAUUAAUUGAAGACGAACUACUGCGAAAGCAUUUGCCAAGGAUGUUUUCA